CAUAGCAAGCAUCAAGAAAGCAAGGCAAGUAGAGGAAGAGGCGGUGGUGGGGACUUGCCGGCACCACUUCGGCGAGGUCGCUGGUGACAGAGCUGUGGUGGACUCCAGCAGGUUCCCACCAUCCCCCUCUCCCAACUCCCAGUCUCUGAUUUUUUUUUAUUUUUUUUUAAGUCUUGUAAAUCGAAUCGACGGGGCUGUCAUUCAAGCUUCCCGGCCUUCAAUCAAGCUUCCUGCGUUCAAGGAUGUGGAUGCAAUUGUUUGUUUGCUAAUCUCGAUGACCAUCGGUCCCUCGAGGAGUAUAGUGCGAAGGUUAGAGUCUAAGUUCUAGUGAGGUGAUCAUCAAGAAAGGCUCAAACGGGAACUAUGAAAGACGAUAACCAAAAAUUUAUUGCAUACCAAGACAGUUGAUGUCGGACCCCCUCUAGUGAGGCCCCCUCACAUUCCUAUCACAGCACACGCCAUGGAAGCUACAAGUUCAGGAACUGCUGUUAGGUUUGCAGCAUAUUUCCAAUCAAUGGGACAUCCACCUAACUGAACUGUAGAUUAAAGAAGCUCAUCUACCACAUUUUGGAAACAAUUAGUGGAAACAAAGCUUGGUUUAGUUAUGUUUGUUCCAAAAUGAUACUAAUUGAUACCAUUUUGGGUUUGAUACAUGUUAGAUUGCCAAAGAUAUUGCAUUUUUCUGUACUUUUUGUGUAGCUACUUUGGCAAAGUAACGUGUACAAUCUCUUGUAAAAACUUAUCUAUAAUAAUAAUAUAGUCAUUUUUGUAAUUCCA